GCGCCCGUAGCUCAGCUGGAUAGAGCGCAGGCCUCCGGAGCCUGAGGUCAGAGGUUCGAAUCCUCUCGGGCGCG
rnacentral:tRNA from 1 species